ACACGCAUGACACACUGCAUAUCAAUAAGCGGAGGAAAAGAAACUAACAAGGAUUCCCUUAGUAACGGCGAGUGAAGCGGGAAGAGCUCAAAUUUGAAAUCUUCAAGGUUCUACCUUGACGAAUUGUAGUUUAUAGAAGUGUUUUCUGUUAGUAGAGUGGCAAAAGUUCUUUGGAAUAGGACAUCAUAGAGGGUGAGAAUCCCGUAUUUGGUCAUUCUUUCUAGCUUUGUGAUACACUUUCAACGAGUCGGAUUGUUUGGGAAUGCAGUCCAAAAUGGGUGGUAAAUUUCAUCUAAAGCUAAAUAUUGGCGAGAGACCGAUAGCGAACAAGUACCGUGAGGGAAAGAUGAAAAGAACUUUGAAAAGAGAGUUAAACAGUACGUGAAAUUGUCAAAAGGGAAGCGUUUGACACCAGUGUUGUUUUUCCGAAAAUCAAUUACGAAUGUUUUAUUUUUGAGAAGUUAUGACUUCAUCGGCUUGCUUCUCUCUUUAUGAAACUUUCUUAAUGCACCUUUUCGGUUAACAAGUCAACAUCAAUUUCUUUUGUUGUAAAAGGGUAUGAGGAAGGUGGCUUUCUUUUCGGAGAAAGUGUUUAUAGCCUUGUACCUCUGCAAUCGGAGAGAUUGAGGUCUGCAGCGUAGAUCCUUCGGGGUUAGAUACAUUUGUGCUAAGUUAUAGCUUUUCAUAGACAACUUGUUGACUAUGUUAAGUCUUGUAGCUUACUCGCUUAUGCUAUUUUACCUACGCUUAGGAUGUUGACGCAUGAGAUAUACGC
rnacentral:rRNA from 1 species